UUUGGGUCUGGAACUCAAGUUUUUCUUUUUUAAAAAUGUGCCCUUUCUCCCCAUGAAAAAACAAUGUCGAGGGAUGUAAAUUCACUACACCGAAGGGCGCAGUUAUAAUUGAGUAAUUUUAUUUCAUUCAUUUGGUGGCAGAGAACGUCCUUUGCCUUCAACAUGGUCAUUGGACGGUGUUUCUGGUGUUCAUGCUGGAUUGAGGGUUUCCCACUGUGGUAUCUGAACAUAAUCACAAAACGGUGGUUCGCAUACUUGAUUGGUUCUUGGGAUCAUCGCUCAAUGUGGAUGGGUCCCUUUGGCUUUGCAGUACGGACACAGGUCCAUGUUCCAAGGACAGCCAUUAACCGUGGGGUAUGUAUGUAUACAUUGGAGGAAAAUUGCCACCUGGGACAAGAGAAAAAUGACAUUUCUUUUCUAAGUGUUAACUUGGAGAGGGGCAGCCUCUCCAGGAUUCUAGAAUAAAUGGACAGUAAUGGGCAUUGGAGGUGGCCAAACAGUACACUCCCAUACCGGACAAAGACGUGGAUUGCCGAGGGGACUCCGAUAAAAUUGGCGUACACGUAAGUGGUAACUUCAAAACAACGGGUAUGAAAAAUCGGGGUCAAGUUCCCUUUAGAGAUGGGCUUCCAAGAGAUUGACUUUUGACUGUACGGUCUUAGUCCAGGUUUCCUGGUCUGCUGAAGCGAGAGAGUGUCUGUAAUAUCAUGGUAGGAACAGUAGAGAGAGGGUUGACAGGGCUGGAACGCAGAGCUGCGGUCUGACUUUGGAGUUCUGAAAAGGUAACAGCUGCAUUUGGGACGUAAGCUGGGAAAUGUUCUGGCCCCAGAGUUGUCACAUUAUUCCUGUAUGUUUCAGCCUGGGUUUUCAUGGUAGUGACAUUUCAGUGUAUAGCUGGAGAUCUGCUUUUGCCCCUUUUUGAAGUUCGGCUGUGGGUCCACUGGCUGUGCAGUGUUGGGGCCUUUCCUUCUCCAGAAACAUGGUCCUGUUUGCAGUAAAAUCUAAGCUGGAGAAAACUCUGCUCGUCUUGGGCGUGGAAGAGUAUGAAUCAAGAAGGGGUGACGCCAUAUUUCUCCUUGCUGCAGCUGGGACACGUUUUUCUGCAAAUGCUGUUCCCCUGGAGUUUAUGUUCAAGAUGGGGAGUGGGCAUGCAGGGUUUGAGGAGGGGGCUUGCUUGGGAACACCGGCAAAGAUGUGGACACUCAGGAGCUUUGCCUUUGACUGCUGGGCCAGGCGAUGCCUGGGUCUGGUGUGCACAUGCAAAUAGACCGCACGUCCGUAUUUUUCACUAAGUGUGACAUUUGUGGGGCGCUGCCGCUGUCCCUGCGUGUCCACUGCUCUCUAUCCUUCCCUCCACCUCGCCGAAGGGGCACACGGAGACCGACCUCGUACUUGGUCUGUUGACUGCUUUACCAUUCUUCUUUGAACUUAAAGAGGGUUCACCGCAGCCCCGUCAAGAUCCAAGUCCAUGCUAUUAAACAUUUCUGUAUAGCUGGGUCUUUAUGGUUAGGAGGGGAAAAUCUUAGAAAGCAACUCCAGGAUGAGAAGACAGUGAAGAAAAUGCUGUCCAGGUCCCCCAGAGUCGCAUGUCCCUGAGAAGGCGGCGAACAGCACGUUCAGUUUGGCACGAACCUGUCCUGCGUGUCACCGCCCGCCUGGCUCCGUGUUUGCCCGAAGCCAGCACACAGAAAAGUAACUGAGCAAAAGCUCACUCAGAGCCAUUCAACAAAGCAGCUCCGCAGUGUGCAGUGAGACUCGGACGGAGCCCUCCCUCCCCCGAGUGACAGGUGUGUUGGGCGGGGUGUGUGUGUGAGUGAAGGCACAUAGGCUGGAGUGCCAUCUCCCCCUUGUGUGCCCCCAGCCCCCGCUCUGGGAGUCCAUUUUUCCAGGGGUGACGGUUGUCCUGUGGAAGGGGAAUGGCUUUAUGGAUUUGAGAUUGUUAAUCUUAGGAAAUGUGGGGUUCCGGAUUCCUAGCUGUGCCGACCUGUAUUGACGUGUUUCUUAUCGGAUGCCAGUCAGUGUUGUCGUUGGGAGGUUGUUCCCAUUGUUUGUGAUUUUACGAGAAUAGAGCCCAGAGUGUGAGUUUUCCUCCGUUUCUCCUCCUUUCUUGGGUUACUCCCACCGCUUUCCAGGGUGCCCGUGCUGGCCCCUCCAUUUGGGGUUUCUCCUCUGGCUAGCUCAGUAAAGGGGAAGGCAUUCUCCCUGACACUUUGCUCAGUGAAAGCCUCUUUGGCUGUACAGGUAAGCUUGUUUUUCUCCCCCCGCCCCGGGGGAUUUUACUUGCUGGUAGCUUCCACAUUGAGGUUGGGCCACUGUGCAGCGACCAAGUGCCCCCGAAUGUUGGUGAGAAAUAUGUGUUCGUUGAAGGGGGAGAACGGAAGGCUUGCACAUUGUAGACAAAUUCUUUUUUUUCUUCUGAAAGUGUGGAACACAGUUUUAAGCUCAGUAUAACUGAGAUUGCAGGAUCCGGUGUGGUCCUUAUCCUUGCGGGCUUGGAACACGUCCCCUGCUGGAUACCUGCCUGCCUGGGAUGUGGGAGAGGGAUCUUCCAAGACUGCACCAGCAACCCCUGCGGCACCGCGCCAUGAGCAUUUCUGGCUCCCGCCCUGGAGAUGCUCAUUCAGUCGGUUUGAGGUGGGUUGGGGACGGAUUGGUGGUUCUGAUAAGCUCUAUGGGUGUUUCUGACUUGCAGCCAGAUUUGAGACUCCCUGAACUACAUGCCCUCUUGGGUUCUUUCCAAAGCUGAGAUUUCAUCGGGAACAUCUCAUGAAUGAGUGGAGAAACUGAGGCUCAGAAAGAUUCCAUGGCUUGCUGAGAUGACAUGACCCAGAUGUUGAAACCAAGAUUCUUCUUCCUUUUCCUUUCUCAGAGGGCUCCUGUAGGACAGAGAGGAAGGUAGUUUGGGCUGGACCGUGGGGUUCUUGGGAGCCACAGCCGGGAAUCGAGCCUCUGCUCUGAAGGCAGUAGGGAGCCCUCAGACAUUUCUGAGCAUGGGCACCACAGAAACACAGGUACGAAGCAGGAGCCCAGAGGUUUGCACAACAGCCCUGUUCUCCAUGCAGGAGGCCACAGCAGUCCCAGAAUGAUUUUCUAUAGACUCAACUAACGUGGACCAGACUUUUAUUUAAAAAAAAAAAAA